AAUCACUUGUUCUCUAAAUCAGGACUAGUAUGAAUGGCCCAACGAGGGCUAUGCUGUCUCCCCCCUCCAAUCAAUGAAACUGAUCCCCUCGUGAAGAAGCGAGGAUACUCGUAUAAGACGAGAAGACCCCAUGGAACUUUAAACCAGCAUCACCUCUCUACAACGAGACCCAUGACUGCUAGUCUUUCGGCUGGGGCGACCACGGAGAAUAAUAAAACCCCCGAGAUGAAAGGAGACAUCCUUAUCCUAGAACUACUAUUCCAAGAAUCAACUAUGACAUUAUUGACCCAAUAUUUGAUCAACGAACCAAGCUACCCUGGGGAUAACAGCGCAAUCCAUUUCAAGAGACCUCAUCAACAAAUGGGCUUACGACCUCGAUGUUGGAUCAGGGGAUCCUGGUGGUGCAGCCGCUACUAAAGGUUCGUUUGUUCAACGAUUAAAACCCU
rnacentral:rRNA from 1 species